CUUGACAUCCAGAGAAUUUAGCAGAGAUGCUUUAGUGCCUUCGGGAACUCUGAGACAGGUGCUGCAUGGCUGUCGUCAGCUCGUGUUGUGAAAUGUUGGUUAAGUCCGCAACGAGCGCAACCCUUAUCCUUUGUUGCCAGCACGUAAUGGUGGGAACUCAAAGGAGACUGCCGGUGAUAAACCGGAGGAAGGUGGGGAUGACGUCAAGUCAUCAUGGCCCUUACGAGUAGGGCUACACACGUGCUACAAUGGCGUAUACAAAGAGAAGCGACCUCGCGAGAGCAAGCGGACCUCAUAAAGUGCGUCGUAGUCCGGAUUGGAGUCUGCAACUCGACUCCAUGAAGUCGGAAUCGCUAGUAAUCGUAAAUCAGAAUGUUACGGUGAAUACGUUCCCGGGCCUUGUACACACCGCCCGUCACACCAUGGGAGUGGGUUGCAAAAGAAGUAGAUAGCUUAACCUUCGGGAGGGCGUUUACCACUUUGUGAUUCAUGACUGGGGUGAAGUCGUAACAAGGUAAGCGUAGUGCU
rnacentral:rRNA from 1 species